rnacentral:rRNA from 1 species
GACGAACGCUGACGGCGUGCUUAACACAUGCAAGUCGAAGGGAGUGGCGAACGGGUGAGUAACACGUGAGUAACCUGCCCUUUUCUUUGGGAUAAGCCUGGGAAACUGGGUCUAAUACUUGAUGGAUUGGGAUGGGGUCGUGGCUUAUUAGCUUGUUGGUGGGGUGAUGGCUUCCCAAGGCUUUGACGGGUAGACGGCCUGGGAGGGUGCGCUGUCACACUGGGACUGGGAUACGGCCCAGGCUCCUACGGGAGGCAGCAGUGGGGGAUAUUGCACAAAGGACGAAAGACUCAUGCAGCGACGACGGGUGGGGGAUUAAGGCCUUCGGGUUGUAAACUCCUUUCGCCCGCGGAGUGGUACUGGGUAAAGAAGCGCCGGCUAACUACGUGCCAGCAGCCGCGGUAAUUC